UACGUAGGGUCCAAGCGUUAUCCGGAAUCACUGGGCGUAAAGCGUGCGUAGGCGGGUAUUUAAGUGCAAUGCGAAAUCCUGUGGCUCAACCAUAUGGACUGUAUUGCAUACUGGAUGCCUGGAGGACAUGAGAGGUAAGUGGAAUUACCGGUGUAGCAGUGAAAUGCGUAGAUAUCGGUAGGAACACCGAUGGCGAAGGCAAUCCCCUGGGCCUGCACUGACGCUCAUGCACGAAAGCGUGGGAGCAAACA
rnacentral:rRNA from 1 species